rnacentral:miRNA from 14 species
CGAAAGUAUGCUAGUGGCAAGCA